CCUACGGGAGACAGCAGUGGGGGAUAUUGCACAAUGGGGGAAACCCUGAUGCAGCGACGCCGCGUGGGCGAAGAAGUAUUUCGGCAUGUAAAGCCCUAUCAGCAGGGAAGAAGAAAUGACGGUACCUGCGUAAGAAGCACCGGCUAAAUACGUGCCAGCAGCCGCGGUAAUACGUAUGGUGCAAGCGUUAUCCGGAUUUACUGGGUGUAAAGGGAGCGCAGGCGGCAAGGCAAGCCUGAUGUGAAAGCCCGCGGCCCAACCGCGGGACUGCAUUGGGAACUACCGGGCUGGAGUGCCGGAGAGGUAGGCGGAAUUCCUAGUGUAGCGGUGAAAUGCGUAGAUAUUAGGAGGAACACCAGUGGCGAAGGCGGCCUGCUGGACGGUGACUGACGCUGAGGCUCGAAAGCGUGGGGAGCAAACAGGAUUAGAUACCCCAGUAGUC
rnacentral:rRNA from 1 species